UACAGAGGGGGCGAGCGUUGUUCGGAAUUACUGGGCGUAAAGGGCGCGUAGGCGGCCUUCUAAGUCGAACGUGAAAUCCCCCGGGCUCAACCCGGGAACUGCGUCCGAUACUGGGAGGCUUGAAUCCGGGAGAGGGAUGUGGAAUUCCAGGUGUAGCGGUGAAAUGCGUAGAUAUCAGGAGGAACACCGGUGGCGAAGGCGGGUCUCUGGGCCGAUACUGACGCUGAGGAGCGAAAGCGUGGGGAGCGAACAGG
rnacentral:rRNA from 1 species